UGAUGAUGUCUGGGACCCCACAUCGAGGGGUGGUCAUUUUCGAUACCGUCGUGGCAUCUAAUGUGCCCGUGGGGUUAAUAUGGUAAUUUCGCUGGUAGGUUUUGAUGGCGGACUCUAAGGUUUCGUCGAAAUCGUCGUUGUUGGCGUGGGUUUCAUUUGGGUAUUGGAGAUAGCCAAAUUGAUGGAGGUAGUUUUUGAGGUGGUGGAUAUCUUUGGUUUUGUUACCCUUGUGACAACCUUGUAGGGUUUUGAUGAACUCAAAUGGUGAUGGUUUUUGUUCACUUGGUGUAUCCCUCUUGGCUUGGCCAAUAGGAGAGAGGGAAAUUAUGGCAAAAAUGAAGAUGAAUGAUAGGAGAUUAAAUUGUUUAAGUGCCAUAAUUAAGUAUUCAAGAAGAUAUACUCAAAGAAUUGAAUAAGAAGUUUGUGUAUAACAUAUUGCUAUGUAGUAUGUCUAUUUAUAUAUACACAUUUGUAUGUGGAAAAAUGAUGCAUAAAUAUUAGAGAUGACUCAUAGUAGAAGUCUGUUUUAUGUUUCACUAGAAUACAUUGCCUUGCAUUUAGAAGACCAAUGACUAUAUUGUGGAAAUUUGCGUCCAUAUGUAUAAAUUUUCCACAUUUGGAAUGUGGAAAUAAAUUGUGUUUAUUUUCCACGAAUAAUUGACGGGUUUGGAAUUUUUAGGAAACUAUAUUGUGACCAAUGACUUGGAAAAUUGGGAGGAAAUUGAACAAAUUGGAAUUAAAUUACCACAUUUGAAAAAAAAAAAAAAUCUUUUUUUCUUUUGGAAAUUGAAAAAUAAUGUUAUUGGUCCAAUAUCCCAAGUAAAAUUAAAAAAAAAAAAACUCUUUCAUAACAAUAAGUAAGUAUAUAAAUGCAAACAACUCUCGUGUCCUAUGCAAUCAAAAGUAAAGUACAACGGCAUUCUGCCAACGAUCGUUAUGUCGAGUUUGUAAUACAUGGUUAGUUUAGUGUGAUUUACUUAUCUUGUAUGCAUAGUUUGCAAGUUAUUAUAUCAUAGUGUAAGUUUACCUAGUGCACCUAUAUAAUUGGCUGCAGGUUCUUUCAUAUCAAAAAAGAAAAAGAAAAAAGUAAAAUGGCAGUGUACUCAUUUUCAAAUUUACAUUAACAAAGUAACGAUUUUGUAGAUGUUGCGUUCGAUGAAAUAUAUCUGGUGAUUCGACGGCAUUGAUCUAUAUAUAAUAACACACAGGCGCCUAUGCGUAUGUGUGGCUUAGCGGAUGGUUAUUUAUAUAGAUCUAUGAUCUAAAAUCACCUAAUAUAUUUCACCAAGUAUAGCAUUUUAUAAAUCAAAAACGACGAUCGUUACCCAGUAAUAUUGUGUGGGGGUUAUUUAUCUAAAUUAGGGUAUUAAUCUUUUAAAUAAAUAUUAUGGAUUCUAGUAAAAAAUAAAUUAUAAAAUGACUAAAAUAUUCCUCUUACUAAUUUUUUUACCAUUAAUUAUCUACUUAACAAAUUAGUACUAAUAAUAGCAAAUUAAAAUAAUUUUUUUUUCCAAAACGAUAAAUAAUUUCAUAAAAUGAUUAUUUAUUUACCAAAAAAGAAAGUUAGUUCUAUUAUGAUUGGACCGAAUAUUCCUCAAUAUUUCAGCGGUAGUUUGGUCUUUCUGGCAACGAGGGUGAUUAAUUCGCUAAUACGUACUACUAGGGGUAAUAUGCUAUCCCUUAAAUCCAUCAUAAUUUGAACUAAAUGAUAAGUUUAAAUCCAAUAUUUUAUUUAAAUCUUUAGUUUGAAAUAAUAUCAAAUCCUUAAAUUUUCUUUUAUUCCUAUGUUGCCCUUAUUUAAAUCAUAUAACUUCACGUAUCUCAAUCCAGAUUUAUUUAUUUUCUUUAAUCUUCUCUCUCGCCUUUUAUUCUCUCUCUCUCUCUCUCUCUCUCUCUCUAUAUGUCAAUUUCCUCUUUUUUUUUUUUUUUUUCUCUCUCACCUCUCUAUCUCUAUCUCGCUCUCUCCGGUAAGCACAAAGGCCGGGGCCGACGGCGGAGGGAAUAGGAGCGGGGCCAACUGGGGAAGUGGUGGUGGAGGAGGCGGCGGCGGCGGCAGCUGGGUGGCGGAGGAAGCAGGGUUCUUUUUUUUUUUCUUCUUUAUAUAUAUAUAUAUAUAUAUAUAUAUAUAUAUAUAUAUAUAUAUAUAUAUAUAUAUAUAUAUAUAUAUAUAUAUAUAUAUAUAUAUAUAUAUAUAUAUUUUCAAUGUUAUGUAAGGAAAAAAUAAAGUUUUUUUUUAUAUAUAAUAGUGCAUAAAAUGCUAAAAUCACGAAAGAAAAAAAAAAGACAAACGAGUAUUCUGUAAAAAAUAUUAAAAAACGUAAAUUGGAAAAAUGAAAAACAUAGAAAAAUGAUAAAUGCAGUUUGAUUUUACUUAAUGCAAAUUUUGAAUUUUGUACUGGAGGGGCAUUUUUGGAAUAAAUUUUAUGAAAAAUGUGAAACAAAUGUUUAGUUGGACUUGUCAUUUAGUUCUAAUAAAUUUUGUCAAGAGGGAGCCCCUGUGUACUAAUUAGUUUGCAUAAUAAUAUCUAUCUAUCUGGAAAAAUCAUUUUGGCGGUCACCGGCGCCGAACUUAAUGGCAGAUCAACUGUGAGCCGCCGCCGAAUUAGAGCCCACGAUCCAAUUUGUUAGAUCCGAUAUACGUAAUCCAGAUUCCACCACCGCUCUCGUUUCUUCUUCAAUCUCGAAAAUUCCGACGGCGAAAAGAGUCAACCAUGGGAUUGUUCACCUACACAGUAGCCGGCGGCGCUCUAAUUCUACUCGGCGCGUGGGAAUCGGUCAUCUCCGCCUCCGAAUCCCUCAAACAAACCCCACCGCCACACUCGCCGCAAAAUAGUAAACAAUCCACGCCGCCGGGAACAGCCUCAUUUUCGUCGACAGUGACGUUUCUGCUGAUCUCCGUUCUGUCCGUACUCUUCGUCGUGAACUCAUUCAUCUCUUUAUCCGACGUCGUCGCCUCCGACGAUGACGUCGGUUUCGCCCUACAGUUGGAGGUAAUUGCAAUCGGCUUCCUUUUCACAGGCAAAAGGUAGCACUCUUUUUGUAAUAGGUUUCUUAAUUUGUAAGUUUAAGGCAUUAUGCUAGAAAGAUGAUAUAAGAAACAAAGGGUUUGGUAUAGGGUUUCUUUUGGCCUUCUUGAAAUGUGUAUAUAGAACUCCAUGGGAAAACUCAUGUAAAUGUAUUUUCAACAACCUAUAAUUUCUUGUUUAUUUGAAGUUGAUUUUAUGUUUUCAGAAGUCAAAAUUUUAGUUGAUUCCAUUAAAUUAUCAUUUCUUGUUUAUUUGAAGUUGAUUUUUUGUUUUCAAAAGUUACAAAUUUAAGUUAAUUCCAUUAAAUUAAAUUUUUUCUGUGUUGAUUUUGUGGAUUUGAACAGUGGCGAAGCCAGAAUUUUAUGUUUCACGUUAAAAAAAGACCUAGUUUCUUCUAUAAUUUUGAUUUUUUUAAUUUCGAGGGCUUAUAAGUUUAUGUGGUAUUUGAUAAUAUAGAUGUCUACAAACAAAAGAAAAUAGACCACUAGUGCAAUUGGAAUCACUAUAGUUAUAUUUAAAAUAUUAGAAUUUAUCUAGUUUUAUUUUUACGAUUUUAUGAAAGUGAGUGUCCUUAUUUUAAAAUUUCCAUUGCUUUUGGAACUGGAAUAAAUUUUGUACUUUCAAAAAAUUUUUUUUUUUUUUUCGAAAAGAUUAAUUUCGAUCCAUUUUAUCUGACUUUCAAUCUUGAUGCCAAGAUAUAGGAUAAAACUACAAGAAAAUAAGCACAAAAGGAAACAUGUUUAUUUAAGGUUUCAGACCCGUCACACAUUCUAGGAUACAAGCUUGAAAUACAGAAAUAUGAAACAUAAAUUACCGUACAAUUUAUGUGUUUUAUUCUUACAAAGGGAAAUCUGGUGUGAGAGAGAGAGGGAGAGAGAGAGAGAGAGAGAGAGAGAGAGAGAGAGAGAGAGAGAGAGAGAGAGAGAGAGAGAGAGAGAGAGAGAGAGAGAGAGAGAUAGAGAGACAGAGAGAGAGAGAGAGAUAAAAACAGGUCUUUUAUUCAGUCACGCGCCAAGCCACGUUGAAGCAAUAUUUCACACGUUAUAUAAAGCUCUGAUUCCCUGGAUAUCAUCUGCAUUCAAACCCUUGGUCCUUCCAGACGAAAGUCGAGGGUACAUAAUCGCAGCCUCGACCGAGCUAUGACCUAGCCCUAGAAGGUGCCCGAUUUCAUGCAAUGCCACCGUUUCCAGGUCGAAAGCAUUCGGCACUGGCCCAAUGGACCACCGCUCGUCCGCAUCGUAAUGGAACCUCCCGUUGGUCGGAGCGAACGCAUGGGCUAGGGUUCCGCCAGGUCCGUCGAACGGGGCCCCAUCUCCGUGGUUCCGACGAUGAAACCCUAUCACCAUAUCAGCACUCCGACCGCUCGGGGCCUGCGAAAAGGUGAAGUGAGUGGCGGCGUCCCAUCUCUGGAAGGCCCGUACGACGGGGGCCACCGCCCCCGCGGGGGUGUUGGGAGAAAACCCGAACGUCAGAUGAGUUCUGGAAGGCGGCCAUCUGAGGUUUCCCGGAAAGAAACUGUAGUGAGACACUGUAUGGAUAUGGCCGCUCGAGCCCGAUUCGUGUUUUUUCGUACCGGACUUCUGCAUGGUGUUAUCGCCGUUGAUGAUGUCGGCGACCCCACAUCGAGUGGUGGUCAUUGUAGAUACCGUUAUGGCAUCUAGUGUGCCAGUGGGGUUAAUAUGGUAAUUACGCUGGUAGGUUUUGACGGCGGAUUCUAGGGUUUCGUCGAAGUCGUCAUUGUAAUUGGCGUGGGUUCGAUUUGGGUAUUGGAGAUAGCCAAAUUGAUGUAGGUAGUUUUUAAGAUUGUGGAUUUCUUUGGUUUUGUUGCCCUUGUGACAACCUUGUAGGGUUUUGAUGAAUUCAAAUGGUGCUUGUUUUUGUUCACUUGGUGUAUUCCUCUUGGCUUGGCCAAUAGGAGAGAGGGAAAUUAGGGCAAGAAUGAAGAUUGAUAAAAGGUGAGAAGUAGCCAUUGUUGAGUGUCAAGAAUAUUAAGAUAUUGCUUUUGCUCUAUAGAAUAAUGUUUAUUUACAUGUCUAUUUAUAGAGAUUCAUUUGUAUUGAUUUUGAUUUUUAUUUUUUUAAAAGAGUGCCAUAAUUUGUACUAGGUGUCUAUUUUAUGAAUUUUAACUAGAAAUAAAGAAAGAAAGAAAGAAAUAAAUAUAUAAUACAAGAUUACAAGUUGUUGACUUGGAUGACCAAAAUACCAGGUCCAUGCAUGACAAUUGACUUUCUUUAUUCCAUUUUAAAUAUAGAAAUAGAAUGUUGGUUUCAUUUUCCUUGGAAAAAUAAGAUGAUUUAAAAAAAAAAGGGUAAAUUACAAACACCCCUGAGGUAUGGUCAAAUUACAAAAACACCCCUCUUGUUUGGAUAAUUACAACCACCCCCUCAACUCCUCAAAUUUAGUGGAAUCUUCGAGAUUAUAUGGAAUAUUAUCACUUUUGUACACGUUUUAUCCCAUUCAAACUCUACAUUAUGAAGCAAGAUGAUCAUAAUAUGUGAUUUUUAGCUUGUAUAUAUCAGUUUGUGGUGCAUCGGAAACUGCAUUUUUACACAAAACGAGUACAAACUAGAGCACAUUCCACGGAAUCUAGAUGAUUAUGUUGAAUUGGGCACCAUACGGGUGGAGGUGUAAGAAAAAAUCAUAGUUGAGGGGGGUAUUUGUAAUUAUCCAAACAAGAGGGGUGUUUUUGUAAUUUGACCAUACCUCAGGGGGGUGUUUGUAAUUUACCCUAAAAAAAAAUCUUCUUCAUUAGAAGAGGAAAGAAGAAAGACAUAAUUAAAAUGGGGUUCAAUGUUAAGUCCAAUCAACUAAUUAAUAGGGUUGUCCAGCAAGGGAUGACCUAGCCGUUGGAGCAAGUGAGUGUGAUUGAAUUGACCCAGGUUCGAAUUUUCUUGCCAACGGUCGCUAGGUCGAGCUUGCGACACAUGGUUAGUCUAGUGUGGUUUACGUCUCUCUUAUGAUUUACAAACUAUUAUACGAGAGUGUAGGUCUACACAGUGCACCUAUAUAGUCGGUUGCGUAUUCCUUUAUUACCAAAAACAAAUAAAUAUUAAUAUUCAUAUACAAUAUUUUUACUCAUUAUAAAAUAUUAAAAAGGGUGGGGACAUGUACGUACUUUUUUUUUUUUUUUUUUUUUUUUAAAUCUUGUCUUCAACAUCUUAUUACUUUUCAAAAAAACUACGAAACAUUUCUAACAGAGCUUAUAACUUCUUAAAUAUCUUAUUAGCUCUAUUUAACAGCUUAUAAGCUUAUGCAAACACCCUCUAAAUGCCUCUAAAUGCAGAGUUGAAUCAGUCCAAUUUGGAGACAAAGUGGGAAGAAAUCGUGUUGUUCAGUUCAUCUUAUUUUCCAAUCCAAAAUAAGACUUCCCCUCGUCUUUGGUGGUCCUAGCUAACAUAUCUUUAUUUAUUUUAUUUUAUUUAUUUUUAUUUUUUUUAUUUCUAUGUCACGGCACUACUUACAUAAGACUUUUCAUAAAGUCGAGCUCGUCUGUUUUGAAAGGUUCGAGCUCGAACUCGUUUACCACCCCUAAUUUGGGCUGUAUAUAAUUUUUUGAUUUUAUAUUGAUAAAUUAUUUAAUACUUGGAGGUCUAGCUAGAGAUGAUAUAUAUAUAUAUAUAUAUAUAUAUAUAUAUAUAUAUAUAUAUAUAUAUAUAUAUAUAUAUAUAUAUAUAUAUAUAUAUAUAUAUAUAUCCACGUUAAGUAUGGCCAAAUUACGAAAAAAACCCUCUUGUUUGGGUAAUUACAACCAUCUCUCUUCUUUUAAAAAAUUUUUACAUAAAAUUUAUGUAAUUCGGUUAUUUACCGAACCAAAUCGUAUAUUCAUUUCGGUAAACGGUAUGAAAUGUUGGCGUACCAAAAUUUCGGUUCGAUUUUACAGAUUUGACAUUCCUAAAUUUACCUCUAGAAGGGUAUUUUCGUAAAAUAAUACAUAGUUGAGGGGGUGGCAGUAAUUACCCAAACAUGAGGGUAUUUUUCGUAAUUUGACCAUAACUCAGGGGUAGCCGUAAUAUGCCCCAUAUAUAUAUAUUGCACAUUUGCCCCCAAUAAAGAACUUAGAUAAUAAAAAGUACUUGCCUCUAUAAUGGUUCAAUUGAGAAGGAAAAAUAUCAAAUUGACUGUAAGUUUGAUGCUUCAUCUCUUCCUGGAGCUACUCAAAAGUCACUAUUUAGGUGCCAUGUUUGGGGUAACCUCAAAAAAUGUCAAUAAUUUAAAUCGGAGAAACAAGAAAAAAAAAAACAAUAAUAGCAAUAAUUUAUGAUGGGAAUUUAAAUCGGAAAUAUAAGUCUAUAACACUCUAUUUAUGAAAAAAAAUACAUUCUCUAUAAAUUUUCUAUUACAGCUUGCAAUUAAUUAGUCAAAUGUAUAAAAUAAAACAAGAAAAUAAAAGGAAUGCAAAAGUAAUUUGAUCACUAGAAUAAGAACAAAAAUAAAUUAAACUUUUUUUUUUUUGAGAACAAAAAUAAAUUAAACUACUUAUAUGGAAAAAGAUAAUUUCGUAGAAGUGUAGUCAUUAUAAGUAUAGUUUGAUAAAAGGAGUUUAUAAACUGCUAAAAGAAUAUAAGAUUAAUAAUACUUUUGUUUAUGCUCAUAUCUUGUUAAUCUUUUGAGGAUAGAUAUUUAAUAUAAUUUCUAAUUAUAAUCUUUAGGAAAUUUAAUUUUUUUUAACAAACCCCUGAAAACUCACUCUUUAGGGAAUUUAUGUGCUAAAAAUUAAGGCUAAAGUACAAAAAACCCCUGAACUAAGGUCUAAUUACCAAAACCCACCUCAGAAAUUCAUAAUUAGCAAAACACUCUCUGACUAAUCGUUGACCAGAUUUCUUAAAAAGAAAUUGUUGUGUCUUUAAUGCCCCUAAGUUAAAUAAAAUUCAAAAAUCAUAAAAUUCGGUGACAUUUUGAAGACUUUCAAUUGAAUUUUGAAGGAUAUUUCAAUAUUUAUAUUAAAAAAUAUUGCAAUUACCUCUAUGAAGGAAUAAUAUUAUUACAAUUACCUCUAAGGGUAAAAUUGGAAUUUUUGAAAAAUAUUCCUUGAAAUUAGAAAGAUUCCGUCGAAGUUCACAGUAUAAGUGGACAAUGUAAGGCGACAACAAAAUUUCAGACCAAUAGGAAAACAAAAUAAUAAAUAGAAAAAAUAUGUAUGCAUUAAAAUAGAAAAAAUAUGUAUGCAUUAAUAAAUAGAAAACAAAAUAAUAAAUAGAAAAAAUAUGUAUGCAUUAGGAGAGUUGGUACCUAGCCUUUACCAAUAGGGUAACGGUCUAGGGUUCGAGUCCCCCCCCCCCCCCCCCCCUCCUACUUCCCCUUGUAAUGGACUUGAAUUUACUCAAAAAAAAAAAAAAAAAAAUAAAAAAAAAAAUAUGUAUGCAUUAAUAUUUCAUAUUUCAUACCAAUGGGAAAACAAAAACACAAACUAUUAUAAAGUUUAUUUUCUUCAUUAUUAUUAAAAAGGGAAAAAAAUCCUUAAGUAGCACACUAAUACAUUAUUCCGAACAAAAGAAACAUUUUGUUACAUUUAUAGAGAUAGAUGACGUAUUUUUUAAUUCAAUCAAAUUAACCAUGCCCAAUAAUAUUUCAGACAUUGUAUAAAGCUCUAAUUCCUUGAAUAUCAUCUGCAUGCAAAUUCUUGGUCACACCAGCUCCAAUUCCGGAAUACAUAAUUGCAGCCUCGACCGAGCUAUGCCCAAGCCCAAGAAGGUGCCCGAUUUCAUGCAGCGCCACCGUUUCCAAGUCGAAAGCAUCUUGGACUGGCCCAACGGACCACCGUUCGUCCGCAUCGUAAUGGAAUCUCCCAUUGGUCGGAGCAAAAGCAUGGGCUAGGGUUCCGCCACGUCCGUCGAACGGGAAUCCAUCCCCGUGAUCCCCACGGUGAAAUCCUAUCACCAGAUCGGCGGAAUUCUGGGCCCGCGAAAAGGUGAAAUGGGUGGAGGAGGCCCAUUUUUGAAAGGCCCGAGAAACGGGGCCCACUGCUGGCGCGGGAGUGUUGGGCAAAAACCUGUAAGUUAGAUGGGUUUUGGAAGGCGGCCAUCUAGGAUUUCCUUGAAAGAAAGAGUAGUGAGAUACUGUAUGGAUAUGUUUGCUGCUCGAGUUCGAUUCGUGUUCUUUUGUCCCAUGCUUCUGCAUGGUGUUUUUACCGUCGAUGAUGUCGGGGACCCCGCAUCGAGGGGUGGUCAUUUUCGAUACCGUUGUGGCAUCUAAUGUGCCUGUGGGGUUAAUAUGGUAGUUUCGCUGGUAGGUUUUGACGGCGGACUCUAGGGUUUCGUCGAAAUCGUCGUUGUUGGCGUGAGUUUCAUUUGGGUAUUGAAGAUAGCCAAAUUGAUGGAGGUAGUUUUUGAGGUGGUGGAUAUCUUUGCUUUUGUUGCCCUUGUGACAACCUUGUAGGGUUUUGAUGAACUCAAAAGGUGAUGGUUUUUUAUCACUUGGUGUAUCCCUCUUGGAUUGGCCAAUAGGAGAGAGGGAAAUUAGGGCAAGAAUGAAAAUGAAUGAUAGGAGAUUAAAUUGUUUAAGUGCCAUAAUUAAGAAUUAAGAAGUUAUACUCAAGGAAUUCAAUAAGAAGUUUGUGUAUAACAUAAUGCAAUGUGGUAUGUCUAUUUAUAUAUACAUAUUUGUAUGUAGAAAAAAAGGAGAGGGGAAGGACACAUAAAUAUUAGAGACGACUCAUAGUAGAAGUUUGUAUGAAGAAAGAAUAAAUCAACACAAGCUCUUGUCUUUAAUUUGAUGACUUGACUUUGACUUUGACUUGAUCGCAUCAUAUAUAAUUUUUUGAACACAAAGCCAAGUCCAUGAUAUAUAAUUUACCUGAAUAUUUAUGUUUUGUACGUACACGAAUGAUAAAGAUUUACCUGGUGGAACGAAAUAAGUUUAUCUCUCGUAAGUGGUAACGAUUAUAUUUCUCUAUAAAAUGGUUUCUUUUUAUUUCAGUAUUUAUAAUCUAUUAAAAUUAAUUGAUUGGAAUAUCAUAAUCAUCUGAUUGGUGGAUACAUUAUUAUUACUGAAAGUAGUGAAUAAAGCAAUUUACAUCAUUUUUUAUUUAUAAAAUAUACUUUAUUUAACUGGCCUUCUAUUCAUUGUACUCACUAGAAAUACACCUUGGCUGCAUUUAUAUAUAUAUAUAUAUAUAUAAAUGACUUGAUGUGAUUGUAUAGUGCAAUUUCUUAAGUCCAUAGAAAGUUUACUCGGUUUAGCAUUAGGAAUGUGGAAAUAAAUUGUGUUAUUUUCUUCAUCCAAUGAGAAUUAUCAAAUAAGGCGUAAUUGAGGGGUUUGGAAUUUUAGGACAUUAUGUUGUGACUAAUGACUUGGAAAUUGGACAAAUUGGAAUUAAAUUACCACAUUCGAAGAAAAAAAUAUUACUUUCCAUGUAGCAGGGACACGGAAAGAAUGACUUGGAAAUUGGGAGGAAAUUGGAUAAAUUGGAAUUAAAUCACCACAUUCGAAGAAAAAGAAUAUUUGUUACUUUCUAUGUAGCACGGAUACGGAACCACGGACAUGGUGAAACAAGUAAAUAGACUCGGGAAAACACGAGAACACCCUAUUUUUCAAAAAAAUGGAUACGAGAAUGUGGGUAAACAUGUAAAUAUUAAAAAUAUAGGGGUACAUCCAUAAUGUAUGAAAAGAUAUUAUAAUGUUAACUUAUAUACAUAUCCUCAAUUAUAAAUUUGUAUCUACAAAUUAUAUAUAAUUUAUAAGUUCCAAUCCAUAUUAUUAUUCGAUAAAUAAUAUACAAGGCAUAUAAAUUUAUUUUAGUGUUGAAUUAAAGUCUGAAAAAUAUUAAAACACUACUAGAAUUGAAAAGAAGACAUAAAGUUUUUUUUUUUAAAUAAUCAAGUAUAGGAAAUUUCGAAUCUUUAUUCAAAAACGUGUUUUGGAUUUUUUUUUUGGGCGUAACUGCUUUUCCAUUUUUUUUAUUAUUACCAUAAACAUCACCGGAAAUUUUAAACAUUUAUGGAAACGGCUCCGAAAUGUUUCCGACAUGUGAUAGAGUUUCGAUUUCCGAAACGUUCCCUGAAACGUGGAAACGCUAUGUACCGAAGUUUCCGUGCAUCAUAGAUUGCUUUGAAUUCAUGUACAAGUAGUAAUUUUCUUGUAAAAAAUAUUAUAGAUUCUAAGAAACAACUUAUAAAAUGACUAAAAUAUUCUUCUCACUAAUUAUUUCGUUAAUUAUAUACUUAACAUAUUAAUAGUAGUAAUAACAAAAUUGAGAAAAGUGUAAUAUUAUUUCACCAUAAUUGGAAUGAGUAUUAUUUAGUAUCUACUAUCUACCCAAAAAAAAAGGUUAGUUCUAAUUUUAUUGGACCGAAUAUUCCUCAAAUUUUCAAGGGUAGUUUGGUCUUUCUGGUAACGAUGGUGAUUAAUUUGCUAAUAUGUAUUACUAUUAGUUUGCAUGUAUCCAUUUAUCUGGAAAAUUCAUUUUGGCGGUCACCGGAGCCGAAUUUAGUGAAAGAUCAGCUGUGAGCCGCCGCCGAAUUAGUACCAACGAUCCAAUUCGUUAGAUCCGAUAUACCUAAUCCAAAUUCCACCGCCGUCCUCGUUUCUUCUUCAAUCUCGCAAAUUUCCUCUUCUUAUGGAAUAAUAUCAUUACAGUUACCUUUAAGGGUAAAAUUGGUACUUUCGACAAAUAUUUCCGUCGAAAUUAACAGUUUAAGUGGACAAUGUAAGGCGACAACAAAUUUCAGACCAAUGGGAAAACAAAAUAAUAAAUACAAAAAUAUGUAUAUAUUAAUGUUUCAGAACAAUGGGAAAACAAAUACACAAAUUAUUAUAAAGUUUAUUUUAUUCAUUAAUAUUAGAAAGGUAAAAAAAAAAUCCUUAAGUAGCACACUAAUACAUUAUUCCGAACAAAAGAAACAUUUUGUUACAUUUAUAGAGAUAGAUGACGUGUCUUUUAAUUCAAUCAAACCAUACGCAAUAAUAUUUCAGAUAUUAUAUAAAGCUCUAAUUCCUUGAAUAUCAUCUGCAUGCAAGCCCUUUGUCACUCCGGCCCCAAUUCCGGAGUACAUAAUGGCAGCCUCGACCGAGCUAUGACCAAGCCCAAGAAGGUGCCCAAUUUCAUGUAGCGCCACCGUUUCCAAGUCGAAAGCAUCUUGGACAGGCCCAACGGACCACUGCUCGUCCGCAUCGUAAUGGAAUCUCCCAUUGGUCGGAGCAAAAGCAUGGGCUAGGGUUCCGCCGCGUCCGUCGAACGGGUUUCCGUCCCCGUGGUCCCCACGGUGAAACCCUAUCACCAGAUCUGCGGAACUCUGGGCCAGCGAAAAGGUGAAAUGGGUGGAGGAGGCCCAUUUUUGAAAGGCCCGAGAAACGGGACCCACUGCCGCCCCGGGGGUGUUUGGCAAAAACCUAUAAGUUAGAUGGGUUUUGGAAGGCGGCCAUCUAGGGUUUCCUUGAAAGAAAGAGUAGUGAGAUACCGUAUGGAUAUGUUUGCUGCUCGAGUUCGAUUCGUGUUCUUUUGUCCCAUGCUUCUGCAUGGUGUUUUUACCGUCGAUGAUGUCAGGGACCCCGCAUCGUGGGGUGGUCAUUUUCGAUACCGUUGUGGCAUCUAAUGUGCCCGUGGGGUUAAUAUGGUAGUUUCGCUGGUAGGUUUUGACGGCGGACUCUAGGGUUUCGUCGAAAUCAUCGUUGUUGGCGUGGGUUUCAUUUGGGUAUUGGAGAUAGCCAAAUUGAUGGAGAUAGUUUUUGAGGUGGUGGAUAUCUUUGGUUUUGUUGCCCUUGUGACAACCUUGUAGGGUUUUGAUGAACUCAAAAGGUGAUGGUUUUUUAUCACUUGGUGUAUC
rnacentral:lncRNA from 1 species